GAACGCGAAGAACCUUACCAGGCCUUGACAUCCUAGGAACCCUGAUGAAAGUCGGGGGUGCCCGCAAGGGAACCUAGAGACAGGUGCUGCAUGGCUGUCGUCAGCUCGUGUCGUGAGAUGUUGGGUUAAGUCCCGCAACGAGCGCAACCCUUGUCCUUAGUUGCUAACGGGUAAGCCGAGCUCUCUAGGGAGACUGCCCGCGAAAGCGGGAGGAAGGCGGGGAUGACGUCUAGUCCGCAUGGCCCUUACGGCCUGGGCGACGCACGUGCUACAAUGCCCGGCACAGAGCGCUGCCACAUCGCAAGAUGGAGCGAAUCGCCUAAAUCCGGGCUCAGUUCGGAUUGGGGUCUGCAACCCGACCCCAUGAAGCUGGAAUCGCUAGUAAUCGCGGAUCAGCCAUGCCGCGGUGAAUACGUUCCCGGGUCUUGUACACACC
rnacentral:rRNA from 1 species